rnacentral:tRNA from 1 species
GGCCCCUUGGUCAAGCGGUUAAGACAUCGCCCUUUCACGGCGGUAACAGGAGUUCGAUUCUCCUAGGGGUCACCA